rnacentral:lncRNA from 1 species
UCAAAAGAUCGGGCACCUGCGUGUCCAGGCACCUAGAGCUUUCCAUUUUGACCUCGCGCUUGAUGAUGAAAUGGUUAGGACUGUUAGGAAGCGAUGUUACCCGGGGAACUAACAACCAAGUCGGUCACUAGCCGUACAGGCACAGCGGGCUGUUCACCCUAACCCACAGACGCAAAGUUGCCUUAGUCCCCAACCGCGCCACGAUGAGCCUGGCACCAGGGGCCUAGCACUAACCAGAGA